AAGUCCCUGAACUCUUGGACUUUAUAAUCUUGGAAAGCGAUGAGGCAGAAACAAAGAUAUAUGAUACUUAAAGGUGCAUUAGAGAGGCAGGGAACAAGGAGACCUACGAGAUCUGAGGAGAGAUCAUUACCAUCAGAGAGGAACAAGGAUGACCAUGUAAGGUAGGGAGAUUCUUAAAGGCUGGGCAAGCCUUCACUGGCUGAAUAGGGAAAGUUGAGACCUACAGAGGGAAUGUGCAAAGACAAGAAAUUCUGAAAACAAAUGGCCCAUCUGGGCAUAAAGAGUAAUCCAGUUUGGCUGGAACAGAUAGCACAAAGAAGAAACUAGUAGGAGACAUAAGGACCUGACUGAUCGGUUAGCAUCAUUAGUUAGCUCAUACUCAUAGAAUUUCAGAGUUGGAAAAAACUGCAAAGGCCAUCUAGUCCAACCUACACCUGGCAAAGAGUCUACUCUGCAAUAUCUGUUGCCACGCUACUGUAGGAGUCCACCCUAGAGGGUAAUAAAUUAGACCUGAGAAAAGGGGUGUGAUGGCCAAAGGACUUGGAGAAGAGAGGAGCGGAUUGGUUUGGUCUUCAAGAUGAAGCUGGGUGAUCUUUUUGAGGGAAUGCUACCAUUAGGAUUAAUGCAUUUGGUGAGAGUUGGAUUAGAUAAUCUCCAAAGUCCCUUCCAACUGUGGAAUUCUAUGAUUUUAUAAAAUUUGCUGAUGAAAUUGUUUUUGGUGCAAAUAAAAGAACCUUAUUUAGUUUAAAAAUGGAUACUACAGCUUUUUCUUGUUUCAUAAUGUUCUAGGAUAUUUCCUGUUGGUAAA